rnacentral:rRNA from 1 species
UACGUAGGGGGCAAGCGUUGUCCGGAAUCAUUGGGCGUAAAGAGCGUGUAGGCGGCCCGAUAAGUCCGCUGUGAAAGUCCAGGGCUCAACCCUGGAAUGCCGGUGGAUACUGUCGGGCUCGAAUCCGGAAGAGGUGAGUGGAAUUCCUGGUGUAGCGGUGAAAUGUGUAGAGAUCGGGAGGAACACCGGUGGCGAAGGCGGGUCUCUGGGCAUCUCCUGACGCUGAGGCGCGAAAGCGUGGGGAGCAAACGGGG